rnacentral:lncRNA from 1 species
GAAAAAUGACUGUUGUAUUAAAAAUAUGAGAUAGCGUAAGGAAUAAUACACGAGCUCGGGCCCUAUUUAUAGAUUUACAAGCGGAGGGGCAAAAUAGUAAAAUCGUCUUCGGUGCAUGCAUCUUGCGUGAUGGAAGGGUACAAUAGUAAUUUCGAUAAUACGCGGGAGAUCUUCCCGCGCGUUCAUUGGCUCCUCUGAUGGAAAUGUCUUCUCUGGCGAAGGCGUCUUCUCUGGUGAUAUUGACAUCUCUGGCGUGACGGACUCCUCUGGUAAACACGUCUUCUCUGGCAAGGGCAUCUCCUUUGGCGGUAAUGAUUUCUCUGAUGAAGUUGACUUUUCUGAUGACGAUGACUUCCCUGACGAUGGUGACUUUUCCAGCGUGGAUGAUUUCUCUGGAGGAGAGGGCUCCUCUGUCAAGAAUGACUUCUCUGGUGCGGAUGACUCCUCUGGCUAGAGUUAUUCCUCUGAU